GUUCAUUUCUUCCCUCUCUGUUUUCCCCUUUCCUUUUUUUUUGUUCCAGGGCUGUUUCUGAGCAGCUCAGCGAGGAGGACACGCUGUAUAAACAUGGAAUGGGAUGCCAUUCACCUCGAGUCAGCUGAUGAAUUGAAUAAGGGAAUGCCCCUUCCAAUCACCAGCAGUGACCACAAAAAGGCAGAGGCUGGCUGUUCCAGCCCUGGCAUGCCAAGUAAUAAUGCAUUAUUACACCCCUGCUUCACUUCGCUCUCAACACUUGCUUUUCUUCCUUGAACCAAGUGCUACCUUGUGGCCAUCAGUGGAUUUUAAGUUAACCCUGCCAUCACCUGAAAGGCAAAACCUACCAUGGAAUUAAUAUGAGUUCACUUGGCAGAUGAGGCAAAUACAGAAGCCGUUGUAAGAGUUUGGAGUAAUUGUCUUUUAAAUAUCUACAUAUCUAUAAUAUAUACUCGUAUGCGUGCACAAAUGUGUGCAUGUAGGCAGACGUGGCAAAUGUGUAUAUAUGCAUGCGUGUGUAGAGACGAGGGGAGGGGGUAUUUUGUACAAAAGGCAAAGGUGUAGAAUUUGAGGGUUGCCAUGGAUACAGGUCAGAUGCCUUUGUUCUCGCAUUGUGGUGUAGCUUAGGGAGAUGAGAGAUGCACCAGCUACAGAGAGAGAUGAGGGAAGAAUUUUAAAAAAAAUAAAUUGGUACGUGAAGGAAAAUAUCCA
rnacentral:lncRNA from 1 species